GAUGAAGAACGUAGCUAAAUGCGAUAAGUAAUGUGAAUUGCAGAAUUCAGUGAAUCAUCGAAUCUUUGAACGCACAUUGCGCCCGCCAGUAUUCUGGCGGGCAUGCCUGUCUGAGCGUCAUUUCAACCCUCAAGCAACUUCUGCUUGGUGUUGGGGAUCGGCCGUUAAACGCCGCCCCCGAAAUCUAUUGGCGAUCUCGCUGUAGCUUCCUAUGCGUAGUAGUAACAUCUCGCAUCUGGAGAGCGGCGCGGUCAUGCCGUAAAACACCCAACUUCUCAGGUUGACCUCAGAUCAGGUAGGAAUACCCGCUGAACUUAAGCAUAUCAAUAAGCGGAGGA
rnacentral:misc_RNA from 1 species